UACGUAGGGUGCAAGCGUUAAUCGGAAUUACUGGGCGUAAAGCGUGCGCAGGCGGUUGUUCAAGACAGGUGUGAAAUCCCCGGGCUCAACCUGGGAAUUGCAUUUGUGACUGCACGGCUAGAGUGUGUCAGAGGGGGGUAGAAUUCCACGUGUAGCAGUGAAAUGCGUAGAGAUGUGGAGGAAUACCGAUGGCGAAGGCAGCCCCCUGGGAUAACACUGACGCUCAUGCACGAAAGCGUGGGGAGCAAACAGG
rnacentral:rRNA from 1 species